GUGAAAAGCCAAAAGAUGUGAAAAAAUACCAAUGGCGAAGGCAGCCCCCUGGGACGUCACUGACGCUCAUGCACGAAACCGUGGGCAGCAAACAAGAUUAAAUACCCUGGUAGCCCACGCACUAAACGAUGUCAACUAGUUGUUGGGGAUUCAUUCCUUCACUAACGUAGCUAACGCGUGAAGUUGACCGCCUGGGGAGUACGGUCCCAAGAUUAAAACUCACGGGAAUUAACGGAAAACAUCAAG
rnacentral:rRNA from 1 species